UACGGGGGGGGCAAGCGUUGUUCGGAUUUACUGGGCGUAAAGGGCGCGUAGGCGGCCACAACAAGUCACUUGUGAAAUCUCCGGGCUUAACCCGGUAGCGGCCAAGUGAUACUGUUGGGCUAGAGUGCGGAAGGGGCAACUGGAAUUCUCGGUGUAGCGGUGAAAUGCGUAGAUAUCGAGAGGAACACCUGCGGCGAAGGCGGGUUGCUGGGCCGACACUGACGCUGAGGCGCGAAAGCUAGGGGAGCGAACGGG
rnacentral:rRNA from 1 species